GCUGUAGCUAAAUGGUAGAACAUCUGUCUUGCACGCAGAAGGUCCCAGGUUCAGUCCCCAGCAUAUCCA